rnacentral:rRNA from 1 species
ACGUUCCUACGGGGGGCAGCAGUGGGGGCGAUUGGACAAUGGGGGGAACCCUGAUCCAGCGACGCCGCGUGAGUGUAGAAGUAUUUCGGUAUGUAAAGCUCUGUCAGCAGGGAAGAAAGCAAUGACGGUACCUGACCAAGAAGCCCCGGCUAACUACGUGCCAGCAGCCGCGGUAAUACGUAGGGGGCAAGCGUUAUCCGGAAUUACUGGGUGUAAAGGGAGCGUAGACGGCUGUGCAAGUCUGGAGUGAAAGGCGGGGGCCCAACCCCCGGUCUGCUCUGGAAACUGUAUGGCUGGUGUGCAGG